rnacentral:rRNA from 1 species
GUGGGAGGCUUUGAAGCGGGGACGCCAGUUCUCGUGGAGCCAUCCUUGAAAUACCACCCUGGUUCAUUUGAGGUUCUAACCUUGGCCCGUUAUCCGGGUCGGGGACAGUGCAUGGUAGGCAGUUUGACUGGGGCGGUCUCCUCCUAAAGUGUAACGGAGGAGUUCGAAGGUACGCUAGGUACGGUCGGACAUCGUGCUAAUAGUGCAAUGGCAUAAGCGUGCUUAACUGCGAGACCGACAAGUCGAGCAGGUACGAAAGUAGGACAUAGUGAUCCGGUGGUUCUGU